UCUAUAUUUAACUUUAAAUUUUGUCAUUUUUUAUAUCUAGAUAUUCCUAUGCCUCACUGGAGCUUUUGAGAAGUAACAGGAUCAUGGGUGUGUAAGAGUGGAUUAUGCCACUGAUUGGUUCAGUAUAGUUCUAGUUGUGAAUGUUGGGUUAACUGAAGAGGUAAAAUCCACUCUGGGAAGGGGUGACACCAACAAAUAGGCUUGUAGCCUGGAUGGAAUAAAAGGGAAAGAAGAAGGAAGGUUGCUGUUUUCUGCCUGCCCUGACCUGGACUGUUUGUCCUCUGUCAGCCCCCUCUGCCAUGCUGUCCUUCCUUGGAGCCAGGCAACUAGGGACUGAAACCUCUACAAAUUCUGAGCCAAAUAAACCUUUCCUCCUUUAACUUGUGGGUGUCUCAUAUUUUUUUUCCAACAAUGAGUAAGUAAUUAAGAUAAAUCCUUACUAAUCACCUUAUCUUUCGGUCAUACAUGUGAUUAAAAGUUUGCUUGCUAGAUUUUUUUCCCCAAAUAUUGAAUAUGGCCAAAAAUAAGCAGACUAAGAGAAUUUUCUACUGUUUUCAGUAUUUCUUGGCAUGAUUAACUGAGAAAAAAAAAAUCUACCUACCUCAUUUUGGACCCUCAACCUUUUCAUAAAUCUAUCAGAAGACAUUUGCCUAAAAUGAAAUGAUAUUUCCCUGACCUACCACUCAGGAAAUUUAUUUACUCAUUUUAUGGAAACCUAUUGACUAUGGCAUAGUUUGUUUCCAGGGAACCCAUAUUGGCUCUAAGUGAUCACUGCUUGCUUCUCAAAAUUUGGUUAAAACUACACUGUAGCAAUUAGGGCUUCUCUCUUUUCUUUUCUUUCCUUUCUUUCCUUUUCUUUCUUUCUUUCUUUCUUUCUUUCUUUCUUUCUUUCUUUCUUUUGUUUCAUAUUAACCAUAACUCCCUUUUUAUUUACAACUAGGACAAUAUUAUAUGUCACCAGUAUUGUGAAGUUGUUUCUCUUUUCUGUGGGUUUUCGCAUGCUAGCAAUAGUGUUUUUAUAAUUACAUUCUCAAGUUAUGUUAAUGCCCAGGCCAUGAUGCACAUGGGUCUUACAGUAGAAAUUGUUUAUGUAAUUCUAAUCAUUUGUUAUAAAAUUUAAAGCAUAAGACACCAUAAUUUUGAUAAUAUUACUUGCUGAAAUAAUAAAAAGUUCUAAAUUUGUGUUCUUCUCUUAGUAGAUGUGCUCUUAUCUUUUACAAGGACACAGGUUAAUAGGUCACUACAUCUCUUGGGGACUUACAGUAAAAGAAAAUAUAAAUUUAUUACAUAUUUGAGAUCACAAAUAUGAUGAAUUUAAGUUAAUUGAACAAAGUAGUUAUUUCUUCUUUACCUAAGGUAGCAUUAAUUUCUAUACUACAAUAAUAAAUUAAAAAUCUAUAAGAUUGUAUCCUACUCCUUAGGAACUAUAUCAAAGCCCAAAUCUAAUAGAAGCAAGAAACAAUAAAGUUCAUUUUUGUUACAAAAUACAUUUAGUACUUUGAAUAAUAAUUAAUAAAAAAUAAAGCAAUAAGCAAAACAAAUUAAAACAGUCCUCUUUGUCAAUGCUUCUUAUACAUCUUUUCCAUCCUGGAUAACCUGAAAUUUUUGCUUUUCCGUAAUAAAAUUCCUCAUCAUUGGUGCGUAAAAAUUUUUUUUUUGGUACCAGGGAUUGAACUCAGGAUCUUGCACUUGCAAGGCAGACAAGAGAACCACUGAGCUAAAUCCCUGUCCCCGUUGGUACAUAAAAUUAGGUUCCUAUUAAAGAGUGCUGUGAUUCAAGUUCACAACAAUAUUCAUAUUUGUGUAUGUAAAUUAUAUGUACAUAAA
rnacentral:lncRNA from 1 species